GACGAACGCUGGCGGCGUGCUUAACACAUGCAAGUCGAACGGACAGGCCCUGCUUUUGUUGGGUUCUCGAGUGCCGAAGGCGUGUGUAACACGUGAGUAACCUGCCCUUGACUUUGUGAUAACUUCAGGAAACUGGGGCGAAUACCGGGUAGGAGCUCCUGCUGCAUGGUGUGGGUUGGAAAGUUUCGGCGGUUGGGGAUGUACUCGCGGCUUAUGAGCUGGUUGGGCGGGUAGUGGCUUACCAGGGCUUUGACGGGUAGCCGGCCUGAGAGGGUGACCGGCGACAUGAGGACUGAGAUACGGCGCAGUAUCCUACGGGACGCAGCAGUGGGGAAUAUGGCGCAAUGGGCGGAAGCGUGAGGCAGCAACGCCGCGUGCGGGAUGACGGCUUUUGAGUUGUAAACCGACUUCGAAGGAGCCGAAGACUGAUUGACGGUAAUGAGUAAAGAAGCCCCGGCUAACUACGUG
rnacentral:rRNA from 1 species